rnacentral:lncRNA from 1 species
CUGUAUUUCAUAUACCACUACCACUCGUCUUGUCACAAUAAGUUCUGGACCUUAUCUUUUUUACAGGAUUUGACAGAUUUAUGCAGUAAAAAAGUCAAUGUCAUUAUGUUCCAAAAAUGUUCUACAGCCUGGUGGAAUCAGACUGAAUGCUUUUAUAAGGACUUCUGUCCCACUCAUUCAUCCUGAUGGUCCCAUGCCAUGGGCUAAACGUGUUCCUCUAUUUGUAGUGCACUUUUGGCCCCGCCUCAAAACAGAGCAGCCGCACUGACAGACACAUGGCUUUCCAAUAAUAACCGCACCUGCUGUGGACUCGACCCACGGCCAAAACAACACAGUUACUUCUCUUACGGGGGAUUUCUUUAGGAUUCAGGCUAAAGAUCAGAUCACCUUCGAACGUGACGCUGCAGUAGGCGUCGCUGAUGUCGGUGUCCGGCGUCUGCAGCCGCUCACAGCAGAGGAUGAAGACUCUCAGCAUGGCUCCAGGGUCCGGGAUAAGUCCAAACGUACAAGAGGGAGCAUUCAGUUUGUUACAGGGGAGAGGGAAAGUAAUGUGUGAUGAGGAGAAAGAGAGAGUGAGGGGGGGAGAGAGGCUGAGUCACUCUGCGCCUCAGUCACAGCGGCUUAAAGCUACACACACACACAGCGCUGCAACAACUCUACGGGAUUACGCUGAGCAACGCACAAUCACAGCAGCCAAACCCAAACACCAGAGCCUCGGAUGAGACAACAUGGCGAUCUCCUAAUUGGACAGACCAAACAUUUGCAGACGUGGGAGCCGCAGCCUGAGGACGAGACCACUCAAAAAGGGGAAAGGCGCCACAGGACAAGGAAAGCAGAAAACCUUUUGUAAAUUUCUGCCACGCUCUUGCGUGUUAUUUCCUAUAUUUGAGUGGCCUCGCUCUUAAGGUUUGGUACUUCCCUAUUUUAAAUAUUGACAUACACUGAUCAAAGGCAAGAGAAAGUGGAAAAAAUUGGUUUGCCGUUCCUUCUUACAAGGACUCAUUUAGAUAAGUCAAAUCCCCAGGGGUCAGGGACCACUAUAUAAACUUGCGGCGGUCAGGGACCGUAAAAGAGUCGGCUGGUCAGGGAUCGAAAAAAAGCCACAGGCCUGAGUUUUUUAUCCAUCCAUCCAUUUUCUUCCGCUUUAUCCGGGGCCGGGUCGCAGAGGCAGCAGUCUCAGCAGAGAUGCCCAGACUUCCCGAUCCACGCACACCUCCUCCAGCUGUUCUGGGGGGACCCCGAGGCGACACCAGGCCAGCUCGGAGACAUAGUCCCACCAGCGUGUCCUGGGCCUUCCACGAGGCCUCCUCCCAAU